AACGAACGCUGGCGGCAUGCCUAACACAUGCCAGUCGAACAAGACCUUCGGGUCUAGUGGCGCACGGGUGCGUAACGCGUGGGAACCUGCCCUUAGGUUCGGAAUAACUCCCCGAAAGGGGUGCUAAUACCGGAUAAUGUCUUCGGACCAAAGAUUUAUCGCCUUUGGAUGGGCCCGCGUUGGAUUAGCUAGUUGGUAGGGUAAAAGCCUACCAAGGCGACGAUCCAUAGCUGGUCUGAGAGGAUGAUCAGCCACACUGGGACUGAGACACGGCCCAGACUCCUACGGGAGGCAGCAGUGGGGAAUAUUGGACAAUGGGCGAAAGCCUGAUCCAGCAAUGCCGCGUGAGUAUGAAGGCCUUAGGGUUGUAAAGCUCUUUUACCCGGGAUGAUAAUGACAGUACCGGGAGAAUAAGCGCCGGCUAACUCCGUG
rnacentral:rRNA from 1 species